GUGGCUGUAGCUCAGUUGGUUAGAGCGCUGGAUUGUGGUUCCAGAAGUCGGGGGUUCGAGUCCCCUCUGCCACC
rnacentral:tRNA from 1 species